rnacentral:lncRNA from 1 species
GUACAGUCCUGAUGCUCUUCAUCACCCAGCAAAAUCUCCUAAUUCCGCAUCAGCUGUCUGCUUGCAUUGGGAGAGGCAAGAAGGGCUCUCCGCAUCAGCCUGCGUGCUCUCUGGAAGCAGGAGCCAGCUCUGUUUGCCUCCAACCGUCCGCCACUCUCUGCAACUCUUCGUUGAUCGAUCUCUGGGAAAACUCUGAUGGGCAUUUUGCCAUUCAGUGGUGCAGGAGCGGCUGCCAAGGCAGUUGGGCAUGGAAAGGAAGAAUGUUAUAAAAACAAGAGAGGAAGUUGGGCCUCUCGCACUGAGAGAAAGGAAGGAUGGGGAAUUUACAGUGAAGAAUGGGAGAUGGGUGCCAUGGCUUGGUAUGUCCUGAUGUCCCCAGCAGGGAGUAGUGCCUGGCAGUGCAUUAGGGAUGUUCCAGCUCGUGCCUCUUUUCAAACCAGCUCCUGGAAAAGGCUACUGGGUUCAGUCCAUGAGUUUGAAAAUGACCGUUGCUUGUGGAGGAGAAAACUUUUGCUCCUUGGAACCUCAUGGGGUGCACUAUUUUGAAUUCAGUAAGUCCAGUGUGGAAGUAAGAGCCAUCAUGCUGUUUGGAUUUAUCAGCAAUUAAGUUUUUAAGCCAACAUUUGUAAAGUGCUAUUUAAUUUAAAACAAUCUUACACAUUAUCCACUUGGUUUUUGAAAUAACUCCAGUAGUUCCAUUUUAUGGAGAUAAAAUUGAGGUCUUAAAAAAGAUUCAAAUAAGGCCACAUAGCUAACAAAAGUCCAUCAGAUUUCCCGAUUUUGCUGUUUUGUUUCACUUAUUUCCUCACACUAAAUCUUUUAUUUUUUGUUUUACCAUACUAAUCAGUGAUACCAUAAGGCUCUAAUUUGGAGCCCAUGAAUUAGUGACAGGGCACCAGUGAAUCUCCUAAAAUUAUUUGCAAAAUUUGCAUGUAAGUGCCUGUGUGCUCUUUUUUCUGGGGAGGGGGACCAUAGUUGGAGCAGAUCCAUAAAUGUUUUCAUGAUAGCAAAACAUUAAACAAAACAUCAUAAAUGGAAAAGUUGUUUGGCUAACACUUCUUAUGCACCUAAC